CCUGCUGUGCGACCAGUAGUAGCUUAGGAGGACAUGCGUCACUGGUAACGGUGGACCCUGGCAAGUAAACCUGCUCGCGGGAGCUGCAACGCUCCCGUGAGGGGGCGCUGUUCUCUGCCAGCAUCAGGCGGAGGUGGUA
rfam:Candidatus Burkholderia brachyanthoides strain TZHbot7 BRCHctg622, whole genome shotgun sequence.